rnacentral:rRNA from 1 species
UACGUAGGGGGCGAGCGUUAUUCGGAAUUACUGGGUGUAAAGGGUAUGUAGGCGGCCUCACAAGUCGCGUGUAAAAGUCCAGCGCUCAACGCUGGGUUCGCACGUGAUACUGUCAGGCUUGAGGGCUGGAGAGGUGAGCGGAAUUCCCGGUGUAGUGGUAAAAUACGUAGAUAUCGGGAGGAACACCAGCGGCGUAGGCGGCUCACUAGACAGUUUCUGACGCUAAGAUACGAAAGCGUGGGGAGCAAACAGG